rnacentral:rRNA from 1 species
AAAUUGAAGAGUUUGAUCAUGGCUCAGAUUGAACGCUGGCGGCAGGCCUAACACAUGCAAGUCGAACGGUAACAGGAAGAAGCUUGCUUUUUUGCUGACGAGUGGCGGACGGGUGAGUAAUGUCUGGGAAACUGCCUGAUGGAGGGGGAUAACUACUGGAAACGGUAGCUAAUACCGCAUAAUGUCGCAAGACCAAAGAGGGGGACCUUAGGGCCUCUUGCCAUCGGAUGUGCCCAGAUGGGAUUAGCUAGUAGGUGGGGUAACGGCUCACCUAGGCGACGAUCCCUAGCUGGUCUGAGAGGAUGACCAGCCACACUGGAACUGAGACACGGUCCAGACUCCUACGGGAGGCAGCAGUGGGGAAUAUUGCACAAUGGGCGCAAGCCUGAUGCAGCCAUGCCGCGUGUAUGAAGAAGGCCUUCGGGUUGUAAAGUACUUUCAGCGGGGAGGAAGGGAGUAAAGUUAAUACCUUU